rnacentral:rRNA from 1 species
CAAAGGCCCCAAAGGAAGCCACGGCUAACUCUGUGCCAGCAGCCGCGGUAAUACAGAGGUGGCAAGCGUUGUUCGGUAUUAUUGGGCGUAAAGAGCACGUAGGUGGUUCUGUAAGUCAGAUGUGAAAGCCUUCUGUUCAAAGGGAGAACGGCAUCUGAAACUACAGAUCUUGAGUGUAGGAGGGGAGAGUGGAACUUCUGGUGGAGCGGUGAGAUGCGUAGACAUCAGAAGGAACGUCGGCGGCGAAAGCGACUCUCUGGCCUAUUACUGACACUGAGUGUGCGAAAGUUAGGGGAGCAAACGGGAUUAGAUACCCCGGUAGUCCUAACUGUAAA